rnacentral:rRNA from 1 species
UUGCCUUUGAUACUGCAGGUCUUGAGUCAUGGUGGGGUUGCCGGAACAUGUGGUGUAGCGGUGAAAUGCAUAGAUAUCACAUAGAACACCGAUCGCGAAGGCAGGUGACCAACCAUGUACUGACGCUGAUGGACGAAAGCGUGGGUAGCGAACGGGAUUAGAUACCCCGGUAGUCCACGCCGUAAACGAUGGAUACUAGCUGUGGGGACUUCGGUCUCCGUGGCCAAGCGAAAGUGAUAAGUAUCCCACCUGGGGAGUACGUUCGCAAGAAUGAAACUCAAAGGAAUUGACGGGGGCCCGCACAAGCGGUGGAGCAUGUGGUUUAAUUCGAUGAUACGCGAGGAACCUUACCAGGGCUUAAAUGCAGGCUGCAUGGGGUAGAGAUACCCCUUUCUUCGGACCGCCUGCAAGGUGCUGCAUGGUUGUCGUCAGCUCGUGCCGUGAGGUGUCAGGUUAAGUCCUAUAACGAGCGCAACCCCUACCGUUAGUUGCCAGCAUGUCAAGAUGGGGACUCUAACGGGACUGCCGGUGCAAACCGUGAGGAAGGUGGGGACGACGUCAAAUCAUCACGGCCCUUACGUCCUGGGCUACACACGUGCUACAAUGGCCGGUACAGAGGGAAGCCACCCCGCAAGGGGGCGCGGAUCUACAAAACCGGUCACAGUUCGGAUCGGGGUCUGCAACUCGACCCCGUGAAGCUGGAAUCGCUAGUAAUCGGAUAUCAGCCAUGAUCCGGUGAAUACGUUCCCGGGCCUUGUACACACCGCCCGUCAAGCCA